UGUCCCCUCCCCACCUCUUGCCCACGGCAGCCUACUGGCUUUGGGUGAUUGGAGAGAGUCUUGACACUGUGCCAGCGCUGCUCAGUAACAGAAAAUCAGUGCGAUAUCAAAGCUGUUCUAGCUACAAAUGCUGAGCACAGCACUGUAUGGGCUGCUGUGGGGAAAGUGAACUCCAUCCUAGCCAGGCCUGAAAGCGCUUUUCCCUUGGGUGCUUGGAGGAAGUGCAUUCCCCAAGGUCUGCGAGGUCACAUGCAGAGCCUGCGGACAGUUUUAGGGGUUACUCCUUGAUGACUGUAUGACGGUACCCUUGGCCGGAUAAGAGAUUCCAACAGGUUUGAUAGCCCCUAGAUAAUAUGAUCUGUAUCUCCCUGGCUUUAAGAACUUUUAGCUUCAAGAGUUACAACGUUUAAAUGCUACAAAUUUGUCUAGGAAAUAGAAGCUAUUCCACAAUGCCUGGAAAAAUCCUAUCGCUCCCCUCCAAAUUUCGGACACAAAACCAACUCAUCCAUCAGCAUGAAAUGCUCUGUGGGAGUCUCCUUCUGUCUAGUAUGUAGGUCAACAGGACAAAAGCAACACAGGGAUACAAGGAACUCUUCUAUUAGGCAAUGAAGCAAA